UACGGGGGGGGUAAGCGUUGUUCGGAAUUACUGGGCGUAAAGGGCUCGUAGGCGGCCAACUAAGUCAGACGUGAAAUCCCUCGGCUUAACCGGGGAACUGCGUCUGAUACUGGAUGGCUUGAGGUUGGGAGAGGGAUGCGGAAUUCCAGGUGUAGCGGUGAAAUGCGUAGAUAUCUGGAGGAACACCGGUGGCGAAGGCGGCAUCCUGGACCAAUUCUGACGCUGAGUGAGCGAAAGCCAGGGGAGCAAACGGG
rnacentral:rRNA from 1 species